rnacentral:misc_RNA from 1 species
GGAAGAUUUCUAAUGGGAAUAGGAGCUGGACUUCUCCUUUACGUGGCUCCUAUAUACAUUGCAGAAAUCGCGCCAAAGAGUAUUCGAGGCGGAUGCACAGCUGUAUUUGCGUUCAUGCUAUAUUUUGGUUUUUCACUCAUGUUUCUGAUUGGCAAUAUCCUUACUUGGCGCACCUUGGCUGUAGUAGGAGUUAUACCCUCUUUGGUGCAGUUACCAGGCAUAUUCUUCAUACCAG